CGGGUGAGUAACACGUGGGUAAUCUACCUCUUAGUGGGGAAUAACGCUGGGAAACCGGCGCUAAUACCGCAUAAGCCUGAGAAGGGAAAGCGGCAUUACGAAAGUAAUGUGGCGCUGAGAGAGGAGCCCGCGGCCGAUUAGCUAGUUGGUAGGGUAAGAGCCUACCAAGGCAUAGAUCGGUAGCCGGCCUGAGAGGGUGAUCGGCCACACUGGAACUGAGACACGGUCCAG
rnacentral:rRNA from 1 species